CAGAGGUCUAGCAGGCCAUCACCUUCCACCCCAGAAACAGAUGCAUCGUCGCUUAAUGCACAGAUGGUGGGAUUUUUAGAAGGGCAUGGUGCUGGCGUGACUUUACUCCUGUUGAGCCCACGGGUAAAGCUUGCAUUGGCAUCAGUGGAUCCAGGAGUGGCAUUGUUUGGGAAGUGCUUUGGGAUCCUCCAUGUCACCCUGAUCAUAAUGCUUAAAACAUGAGCAACUUCUAACACCUUGUCUAUACUGAGGAUCUCACUGUUCCUACCACUGAGGGCAUACUGUUGUAUGCAGUCUCAGAUGUGGAAAGCAGAGGAAAUUGUGAACUUUUGACGGAGACUGAUGUGUAACACACAUGAAUUCAGACACAAAUAUGUGCCAGAGAAAGCAGUACAAUCACAUCUUCCAGCUCCUGAUUCUGGAAACCAGUAAAGCACAUGCAUACUUUGUAAGGGAAUCUCUAUUUGGCACAAGCAUGUUAGCAUUUACUAAACUUUAAGUAUGUCCAUAGGUCCCCUGACAACACCCUUUUAACCUGAGAGAGUGAACUAAGCAGGGGUCUAAAGUGCUUAUUUGAAUCCGAUCCUCUGACCUUCCACUCCAGAGAGAUCUGUGCAACAGAGAACUUUAUUUCC